UGCGCGAGUCAUUGGUAUUUAACUAAAACUAAAGGCGCAAUGAAAGUGAAGGCCGCCUUGCGCGUGCCUAGGGAGGACCGGGCGGUAAUAGUGCGGCGCCUUGCGCGCCGGCCGUUCCGUGCACUCCCGGGGCGUCUCGUACUCAUCGCGAGUUGAGGCGCACCCAGAGCGUACACGCUGGGACCCGAAAGAUGGUGAACUAUGCCUGGUCAGGACGAAGUCAGGGGAAACCCUGAUGGAGGUCCGUAGCGAUUCUGACGUGCAAAUCGAUCGUCGGAACUGGGUAUAGGGGCGAAAGACUAAUCGAACCAUCUAGUAGCUGGUUCCCUCCGAAGUUUCCCUCAGGAUAGCUGGCGCUCGUGUUUUACGAGUCUCAUCCGGUAAAGCGAAUGAUUAGAGGCAUUGGGGUCGAAACGGCCUCAACCUAUUCUCAAACUUUAAAUGGGUUAGAACUCCGGCUUGCUUGAACGUUGAAGCCGCGAGAUAACUUCGAGUCGCGGCGAAAGUCGCGGCCGAAGGAACGGAUCAGAGUGCCAAGUGGGCCACUUUUGGUAAGCAGAACUGGCGCUGUGGGAUGAACCAAACGCAGAGUUAAAGCGCUCAAAUCGACGCUCAUGGGAUACCAUGAAAGGCGUUG
rnacentral:rRNA from 1 species